rnacentral:sRNA from 1 species
UAGCUGUGGUAACGCCUUGUGUUCCAGG